ACUGCAGUUUGCUUAAAUCCCGUCUCUAAACCAUCUGCUCAGUUUACUCAAGCAUAAUAAAGGAUUAUGGCACUGGAUUAUGGGGGGGCCUUGUUAACAAACCAUAAUACUACAGAGAAGGCUUAGAUAAACAUGUAUAGCUGAAUUUUACGAUGCAAGACUGCAAUUCUGGACCUCUGCUCAUAUGGUCUUCUUAAACCAUUCACAUCACUCUUGGUCUGAAGUCAAAAAAAUGCUGGCACUAAUAACUCAGAGAUGAUGUAGAAGAGAAGCAGUGUGGGGGAAGAAAGCCAAACACCUGGCACACAGAGAGAAAUAGAAAGAGAGAGAGGCACUAAUGGGAUAUUAAUAACUCCUUUAUGAGGCUGAAAUUACAUUACUGUGCUGGCAACAAUGUCCACUAUUUUGAAAGCAGAGCUGAGGUGUGUUUAAAUUGACUUUUCUUUUUUUUUAUCAUCUGUGAACUAAAUUGUGCAAACCACAAAGAAGCAGAAGGAUGUGCUUGAACAUUUACAAACGCCAUUGUGCUGUAGAACAAAUUGCUGCUGCUAUUACCUGCCUGUUUAAAUGUGAUGGGCCAGUGGAGCAAAUAUUUAGUGUUUGUUGUACUCUUCAGGCAGAUCGAUGUAUAAACAAGUGGAUGGACACAUAAUUGGCAAAACUCCAUAAUGAAAUGAAGGGGUCGAGUAACACAAUCCAUGUACAAUGCAUCAUUCUUUUAAACACAGUACAUAAUUUGAGUAGUGGUGUAAAGGACACCAUGGUGGGAAUUUUCAUGGUUUUCAGAAAAUGUUCUUUUGUGUGUCCACUACUGGACAUUGUUAAUGGACACAUUAAAUAAACUAGUUAGAGUGUGAAAAAUGUAUUUUAUGUUUCUGAAAGUCCACAGGGCCAAAAGUGCAUUAUGGUACCCAUAAUGAUUUCACAUCAGAUAGCGCAUAACAAUAUCGAAAUUUACAAUGUGCCAGAAGUAGGGACAGAUGUUUUUCCCCCACAUAGUGUGACAUAGAGUGAAUGUGGGGUUAUGCAGAUAAAAUUAUUUGAGAAUCGUAUCACUAAGAUGCAUUCCAUGCCAACUUUAAAGAAAUAUGGCAUAAGCACACUUAUCAAGAAAAACUAAUUAUUUAGACACUUUCUGGUUGUCAGAUAAAACAUAGUAAAAAAAAAAAAAACUGUAACCUGUGGUUACUCUGAUGGUUACAAUUAUAGUUUAUAGUUACAAUUAUAGUUAUAUUAUAUAUAGUUUAUCUUAGUUAAUUUUUUUGGGUGCUUUCUAAAUUUGACAGGCAGCUGUUUCACAUUACUCACUGUGCGUAAAGGAUCUUUUCAUCUUCUUCUCCACCUUGAACCACCAUUGUUAAUGCUCAAGGACAUUUUCAUCUGACGUUGCC
rnacentral:lncRNA from 1 species